GGAACUUUAGCUCAGCUGGUUAGAGCGCAGGUCUCAUACUACCGUAUGAUUCCUCUGAUUUCAAACAGAGGGAGUAAUCCUGAGGUCGUGAGUUCGAAUCUCACAAGUUUCA